rnacentral:rRNA from 1 species
ACGUAGGGGGCGAGCGUUGUCCGGAAUUACUGGGCGUAAAGAGCACGUAGGCGGGAACUUAAGUCAGGUGUGAAAGACCGGGGCUCAACCUCGGGUAUGCACUUGAAACUGGGGUUCUUGAGGGCAGGAGAGGAAAGCAGAAUUCCUGGUGUAGCGGUGAAAUGCGUAGAGAUCGGGAGGAAUAUCAGUGGCGAAGGCGACUAUCUGGACUGACACUGACGCUGAGGCGCGAAAGCGUGGGUAGCAAACAG